UACGUAGGGUGCAAGCGUUGUCCGGAAUUAUUGGGCGUAAAGAGCUCGUAGGCGGUUUGUCGCGUCUGCUGUGAAAACCCGAGGCUCAACCUCGGGCCUGCAGUGGGUACGGGCAGACUAGAGUGCGGUAGGGGAGUGUGGAAUUCCCGGUGUAGCGGUGAAAUGCGCAGAUAUCGGGAGGAACACCCGUAGCGAAGGCGGCACUCUGGGACGGUACUGACGCUGAGACGCGAAAGCGUGGGGAGCGAACAGG
rnacentral:rRNA from 1 species